rnacentral:rRNA from 1 species
AUACGUAGGUGGCAAGCGUUGUCCGGAAUUACUGGGUGUAAAGGGCGUGUAGGCGGAGAUGCAAGUCAGGAGUGAAAUCUAGGGGCUCAACCCCUAAACUGCUUUUGAAACUGUAUCCCUUGAGUAUCGGAGAGGCAGGCGGAAUUCCUAGUGUAGCGGUGAAAUGCGUAGAUAUUAGGAGGAACACCAGUGGCGAAGGCGGCCUGCUGGACGACAACUGACGCUGAGGCGCGAAAGCGUGGGGAGCAAACAGGAUUAGAUACCCUGGUAGUCCACGCUGUAAACGAUGAAUACUAGAUGUGGGGGGACUGACCCCCUCCGUGCCGCAGUUAACACAAUAAGUAUUCCACCUGGGGAGUACGAUCGCAAGAUUGAAACUCAAAGGAAUUGACGGGG